UCGGUGGUCUCCAGUCCCCCUGAUGCCAGCUGAUGUAGCGGCUUUUACUUCUGACAUGAAGGGGGCCACAUGGUGCUGGAGAAAGGUUUGCCCUGGGAGGAUUUGAGUUCCACUUCCGGUUCUGCCUUUCAAUAGCCUGGGGCUGGAGUCAACCUCCAGAGCUUCGGUUGCUUCAUUCAUUCGACAAAUAGGCGAGACCUGCUGGGAGUCAUGUUUGCUAUCAAGUCGAUAGAGCUCAUCUGUGAAUAAAGCCAACACAGAGGAAAGCUGAGCUGGGAGAUGGCGAGAGGAAGGAAGAAGUGGGCAUUGCUCCAAUCCCUGACAGAUGUGCCUGAAAUAUGUUCCAUCCCUCAUCUUUUUAGCUAUGGCACUUGACUUAUUCCUUCUUAUUGGAAAGCCUGGAGCAGCACCGGAGAGCAUUCAAAUGACUUGACUGAAAAUGUGGACCCGGGAAACUCUCCCUGCACGCAGAUAAAUGCACCGCGAGCAAAUUGCCCACCUCCCCCAGACUGUCCAGACUCACCUAGUUCACUUGCAAUGGUUUUUAAGAGCAAGGUUUACUGUGUACCAGGCAAUGUGCUCAAAACUGCACCAGAAGAGUGAGUCCUGCCUUCCAGGAGAUCUCUGUCUUGUAGGAAGGAGACAAGGAAACCAACGCCAUCAACUACAUGAAGGAAGACAGAGGGGUAUCACACACACUCGGAAGAGAAGGAGGCGGUGUGACGGCUGUGACGUGGCCACCGGCCCAGGAACCCCAGUGAUCACCAGAAGCUGCGAGAGGCAGGAAAAGUAUUCCCCCCCUAGAGCCUUGCCAACACCUGGAUUUCAGCCCAGGGAACUGAUGUUGUACUCCCCGCCUCCAGAUCUGUGAGAGAAUAAUUUUUUGUUGUCUGAAGCCACCAAUGUUGCGGCAGUUUGUCACGGCAGCUCUCGGAAACUGAUACAGGGACAAAAAAAGUUUUGGCCUUCACCGUUAGAGCAGUCUGGCACAGCUGAUGGAUUCCUUCUCAGAAAAAUGGGUUUAAAUCAUAAAAACAAAAUAUAUAGGAUCAUGCAGCAAGUUGAUUAUAUUGAAUACGUUUGCUAAAACAUAAGGAAACAAAUGUGUGCAGCUUUAAGCCCCUCAGUUAAGACAAGGCAUUUAAAAUGUAGGCAAGUCAAGGAUGACUUUAUUUUUGAAAGACGUCAGAGUGGACAUUGGUGAGAAGGCUAUUGUCCAUUGAGCUGGGAAGUGGCCUGUCAUUUAAAGACUGAGAUCACCUGUCAUCUACGGAGGCCUGACACUACCAUUGUUUGGAAGCAGAGUCGAGUAAGCGGUAUUUCAGGAUAUCUGCAACAACUCUGUGUAAUUAUGAAAGCAUCUGGGUGUUGGCUGACAAAGUCUCAGGUACCACUAAUACAUUUGUCAACAAAGGAAAUGCUGAAGUUCAGUUUGGGAACCUCAGGCAAA